AUGAACGCUAGCGACAGGCUUAACACAUGCAAGUCGAGGGGCAGCGGGGGUAGCAAUACCCGCCGGCGACCGGCGCACGGGUGAGUAACGCGUAUGCAACUUACCUAUCAGAGGGGGAUAACCCGGCGAAAGUCGGACUAAUACCGCAUGAAGCAGGGGCCCCGCAUGGGGAUAUUUGCUAAAGAUUCAUCGCUGAUAGAUAGGCAUGCGUUCCAUUAGGCAGUUGGCGGGGUAACGGCCCACCAAACCGACGAUGGAUAGGGGUUCUGAGAGGAAGGUCCCCCACAUUGGUACUGAGACACGGACCAAACUCCUACGGGAGGCAGCAGUGAGGAAUAUUGGUCAAUGGGCGUAAGCCUGAACCAGCCAAGUCGCGUGAGGGAUGAAGGUUCUAUGGAUCGUAAACCUCUUUUAUAAGGGAAUAAAGUGCGGGACGUGUCCCGUUUUGUAUGUACCUUAUGAAUAAGGAUCGGCUAACUCCGUGCCAGCAGCCGCGGUAAUACGGAGGAUCCGAGCGUUAUCCGGAUUUAUUGGGUUUAAAGGGUGCGUAGGCGGCCUUUUAAGUCAGCGGUUAAAGUCUGUGGCUCAACCAUAGAAUUGCCGUUGAAACUGGGGGGCUUGAGUAUGUUUGAGGCAGGCGGAAUGCGUGGUGUAGCGGUGAAAUGCUUAGAUAUCACGCAGAACCCCGAUUGCGAAGGCAGCCUGCCAAGCCAUGACUGACGCUGAUGCACGAAAGCGUGGGGAUCAAACAGGAUUAGAUACCCUGGUAGUCCACGCAGUAAACGAUGAUCACUAGCUGUUUGCGAUACAGUGUAAGCGGCACAGCGAAAGCGUUAAGUGAUCCACCUGGGGAGUACGCCGGCAACGGUGAAACUCAAAGGAAUUGACGGGGGCCCGCACAAGCGGAGGAACAUGUGGUUUAAUUCGAUGAUACGCGAGGAACCUUACCCGGGUUUGAACGCAUUCGGACCGAGGUGGAAACACCUUUUCUAGCAAUAGCCGUUUGCGAGGUGCUGCAUGGUUGUCGUCAGCUCGUGCCGUGAGGUGUCGGCUUAAGUGCCAUAACGAGCGCAACCCUUGCCACUAGUUACUAACAGGUAAAGCUGAGGACUCUGGUGGGACUGCCAGCGUAAGCUGCGAGGAAGGCGGGGAUGACGUCAAAUCAGCACGGCCCUUACAUCCGGGGCGACACACGUGUUACAAUGGCGUGGACAAAGGGAAGCCACCUGGCGACAGGGAGCGAAUCCCCAAACCACGUCUCAGUUCGGAUCGGAGUCUGCAACCCGACUCCGUGAAGCUGGAUUCGCUAGUAAUCGCGCAUCAGCCAUGGCGCGGUGAAUACGUUCCCGGGCCUUGUACACACCGCCCGUCAAGCCAUGGGAGCCGGGGGUACCUGAAGUCCGUAACCGCGAGGAUCGGCCUAGGGUAAAACUGGUGACUGGGGCU
rnacentral:rRNA from 1 species